CAUUGCAGCUGGUGGGACGGAUCGAAAUCACGGCGCCAUAGUGAAGUGCGCGCCGGGGAACGAGAAUCUAUAUGGCAGAGGAAAAGAUUCAUCGGUUCAUGGAUCCCGGUUCGUCCUGCUGCCGCCUUUAACCACGUUCUGCGGCAGGAACUUCCAUGAUAGUCUUACAUCUAGCUAGUCGCUGUGCUUUCCCUCUCGGCUGACGUGGCCUGGCGAGCCUUCUCUAUUUCGCACUCUGCACGCACAAGUGGACUCGUCUUCACGAGGGAUGUUCUUAUGGCGCCUUCCUGGAUGCUCCUGCCAUAUUGUCACGGCCUCUUCACGGUGCCGGGCGACAUAUGUCGUUUUUUACAAGCUUCGAAAGACGGCGAGUGGUGGCAAACGAUCAGCAUCAAGCUGACAAUGGUCACUGUCCCAACGCGGGCCUCGACAGUUUCUUCUUGCUUGUCCGGCACAUCCUUUAAGGAAGGUCGUAACAAGAUGAGAAGAGGCGCGGCCUGCUCAAGCCUGUUCGCCUCCUCCGUACACCGCUUUUUGCCGGCCCCUACGUGAGCUGAGGCCGUUCUACGAGGUACAGGGCACGAAAGAAAGGGAAAAGGUGCGGGGUCAUGGAAAGGCAGACAAGCACGCGAAGGAGAAGGAGGAGGAUCGUCGCUCGCUACAGACGGGUCUUGCAAGAAGAAACAAGCAAGCAAGCAAGCUGCCGGCAAUUCCUCCACCCGAGCAACACUUCUGAAGGGCGGUAGAAUCUGAAGUCCUGAACAGCCUGUACAGGCAAGGCUAAACACAAGGACGCUUUAUAAACGGGGCACAACAACCACUAUGAGAGCCGUCAAUUUAAUGUCGCCGUGCUAACCUGCCCUCACGGCUCACCAUUCAGACUACAGGACUGUAUCGCAGACGAUAUUUAGGAGGUGCCGAAACAUCUGCAGCACAAAUAUCCA